rnacentral:rRNA from 1 species
UACGUAGGGGGCAAGCGUUGUCCGGAUUUAUUGGGCGUAAAGAGCGUGUAGGCGGCUCGAAAAAGUCUGGUGUGAAAACUUGAGGCUCAACCUCAAGCUGUCAUUGGAUACUAUCGGGCUUGAGUCCGGAAGAGGAGAGUGGAAUUCCUGGUGUAGCGGUGGAAUGCGCAGAUAUCAGGAGGAACACCUAUGGCGAAGGCAGCUCUCUGGUACGUGACUGACGCUGAGACGCGAAAGCGUGGGGGGGCGAACAGG